CAGCAAAACAGAAUGAGAAGGCGUCAUGAACUCUUCUGACAAGAACAACAAGGCACUAAUAAAUUAGCUGAGUCUUGUCUGAAUUGUAAUUGUUUCAGCAGUGGAGUUCCUGAAGUUUUCAGAUCUUGUUUAUACUCAAGCAAUGCAGUCUGCUCUUCUUCCAGCUCCCUGCAAAUUAAACUACUCUCUGCCUGACCUUGUCAGACAGUAGAGGUCUGGCUUUCAUUGACUUCUGAGGCUUUUCUGUUUUAACGUGUCCUGCAGACUAUGAAGCAAUGGUGCGGCAUCAAAAAUCAGAGGGGCAUGGUCCAACCCAAGAUCUAACCCUCCAUGGAUAGAGACACAUUUCCUGUAUGGCUAUCUGCAGGUCCAGUUCAAUGGAACUUCUGGCUGGCCCUGAUCUCUGUAUGCAACAGCUGGUUGUGUUAGUGGCAGAGCACGUGUUAUGCAUACACUAAAUCCAAGUUCAAUCCCUUGCAACACCAGGUAGGGUUGUGAAAGACUCUUGUCUGAAAUCCAGGAGAACUUCUGCUAAUCAGUGUAUACAGUACUGAACUAGACAGACCAACAAUCUAACCUGGUAUAAAGUUGUUUCCUAUGUUCCGCUACUAUUCAACAAAAAGAUGGUCAGCCUUACCAGUUGGAAUCCAGGCCAUCCAUUUCUCUCUCUCUCUCUCUCUCUCUCUCUCUCACCAAAAUUGACCAGACAUUACUUUGCAUUGUGACUGACAUACCAGGAAAAUAUUCACAAUGCUUGGGUUAAAAAGAAAAUAUGCACUUUGAAGAGACUACAUAUUAUCGGCUUCUCAACUUGUCAACUACUUUGGCUGGAAAGAAUAACAAAAUUUUUAAAACACACUGACAGAGAGCAAAGUAACUAACCAUGGCCUUACAAGAUAACAUACGACUUAUGUUCACUGCUAUCAGCUUUGGCAGAUGAGGCGGAAGACACAAAGCUGCAGGUAUAAUGAAGAUAGAAAGCUCUUUUCAUUGCAGCAAAAACACAUUCCACAUCAGUCAGAAGAAAAGGAAAGAAGCCUAAAACAAAUAUGAUCUGGGAAUAUGUUUCAUAAAUAAAAACUCAUCAGCAGAAUGACAGAAGCUGCUGUUGUCUCAAUUUUACACCCCUGUCCCCCUUGCCAAUGUGCAAUAAUAGGGUUAUAACACUGGCCUACUGGACAAACUUGUUUCAGAGACAAUACAAUUAAUGUCUGUAAAGAGCCAUGAAUACUCAAAAGAGCAUUAUAUAAAUCCUUGGUGAUGAGAAUGGUGCAUUGUUUUGCCAGAACAAAAACCUGUGAGUGAUAUACAAUGUGAUAUUCUUGAAAGACGCACUUUAUAUGAAUAAGCAAUGAAUAAUAUUUGGGUGACAUAUGAAAUGAAAACUUGAAGGAACCGUGCCUGCUGGUCCAACUUCCAUCAUCGAUUCCAUCAGAACUUACUUAAAAGAGAGCAUAUUCAUGUACAAUUUGUGUGCUUAAAAGUUCCAUGUGAUCUCUACCCUGCAAAACUAAAACUAAAACCAGGUGCACAUCCCAUGUAUCAAGCAUACAGCUUGCAACUGCAUAUGAUCUCUAUAUACUAUGUGCACAUGAUCUCCUUAUCAUGCUGCCAAUAGUUGCUGCUUGUUUAUGUAUAUUAUAAUAUAAUAAAAACAAUGAUACUGUUCACAAUGUUUUCGUUUAGGAAAGGAAAGGGGCUUCUCCUCUGACCAGUGCCCACCCACCCAAUCUCCUUGCCUCCCCCUCCCCUCCCCCUUCAUCCUUUCCUCUCUCCUUCCUGCCCUCCUUCUCCCCUCCCUGCCCCUCCUCCAGGUUAGUUUCAACCUCUCCUAAACAUGAUUGCACAGCAGUAAAUCCCACUGAACUCAAAAGCAUGCAAAUAAUCAAACCUGCCCUCCCCUUCUCCUCCCUCCUAUCCCCUCCCUCUUCCCCCUUUCCUCUCCUUCCGUCACCCCUCCCUUCCCUUCCCCAUCCCCUUCCAAUCCCCUCCUUCCCCUCCUCCUCCUUCCCCUCCCCUCCCCUCCUCCUCCCCCAUGCUUGGUUUUACUCAUCCUAAGCAUGAUUGCACAGGAGUAAAUCCCACUAAACUCAAUAAGCAUGCAAAUGAUCAAACCUGCCCUUCCCUUCUCCUCCCUCCCAUCACCUCCCUUUUGCCCCUUCCCUCCCCCUUUCUUAACCUCUCCCCUUCCAAUCCCCUCCCCCCUCCCACUCCUUCUGCUCCCCUCUCCCCCUUCCUCCUUCCCUCUACUCUCCCCUCCCCUUCCUCCUCCCCCAUGCUCAGUUUUAUCUAUCCUAGCCAUGAUUGCAUGGGAGUAAAUCCCACUGAACUCAAUAAGCAUGCCAAUGAUCAGACCUGCCUUUCCCCUCCUUCCACUCUCUUCUCCCUUCCUCCUCCCUUCUUCCUCCCCUCCCCUCUUCCUUCUUCCUCCUCCCCUGCCCAAUCCAGGCCUCCCUCCCCAUGGUCACUUUUACCUAUCCUAAGCAUGAUUGCACAGGGGUAAAUCCCAAUGAACUCAAUAAACAUGCAAAUGAUCAAAUCUGUCCUCCUCCUCCCCCUCCUGCCUGCUCCCCUCCACCUGCUCCCCUCCUCAUCCUCUGUGGUUAGUUUCACUUAUUCUAAGCAUGAUUGCAGGGGAGUAAAUCCUACUGAACUCAAUAAGCAUGCAAAUGAUCAAUCCAUUCUCAGCAAACUUCCACAGCAUCCCAUUUCUUACCUCCCUGAUUAAAAAGCA